rnacentral:lncRNA from 1 species
ACCCGGAUUCAUUGGAACGCAUGGUUAGACUUUCUCCUCGAUCCUGCAGUCUCAUAGUAAUCGUUAUUUCCAUUUUAUGCGCACAUUUUCGGUAAACAUUGAUCAUAUUCAAAUGCACAUAUUAAUUCGAAUUAAAUCAAUGGACGUUUAUACAAACAAACAGCAAAAAGCAACACAAAAGCAUCUUUUGAAAUAACAUUGUAUGGAUUUUGAAAGAGGGCCUAUAAACAGGCAAUUUGUGUACAAGGAGACAGAAAUCCUAGUAAG